UAAUAUCUUUUGUAGCUUUAUACUAUUUUUGCAUAAGAGUAUCCUUAUUGUAUGAUUUUUAACCCUCAGGAUAAAAGAUGGAAAUGCUGAAACACUCUAUCCUAGAUCAUCCUUUGCCAUCAAUUGUACUGGUGAUGUCUGCAAAGGAGAUGUUGUUUUGUUUACACAGAAAGUAUACAAGAAGUUUGGAAAGAGAACUAUUGCUGGGAGAGUUGUUAAGGAAAGCUAUGGUGUUGCCAAACAACAACAUACAUUUACAGUAAGUUUGGGACAUGUGUAGUGAUGACUCGCUCAAUUACUCAAGCCUCUCUUUUGCUAAUGAAAUCAAUAAUCUAGUGUUUUUUUCCUUCUCAAUUUCCUUGAGUCAAACAUUGUCAUAGUUCAUCCCUUAUAAGUUUUUUUGCACAAAAAUUCAGGAUCUCCCUCUGUUUUGUCUUUAUUAGAAGUUAUUGUUCUGCCCCUGUUUCUGUGGGUAACCUAUUAUUUCCUAACUAGUGACAAAUGGUAGAUGUCUCCAAUUGAGGUUAGAGGAUUAACACAAGUUGUGUAAGAAGGCAACUAUUGAUCAUAAAUCUAGAGACACUUUCUAAGUAGAGCAACCAUAUUUUUAUGUGGAUUCAAUGUACCCCCAGUACUAUCACACUA